rnacentral:rRNA from 1 species
GUGCCAGCAGCCGCGGUAAUACGUAGGGUGCGAGCGUUGUCCGGAAUUAUUGGGCGUAAAGGGCUCGUAGGCGGUUUGUCGCGUCGGGAGUGAAAACCAGGUGCUUAACACCUGGCUUGCUUUCGAUACGGGCAGACUAGAGGUAUUCAGGGGAGAACGGAAUUCCUGGUGUAGCGGUGAAAUGCGCAGAUAUCAGGAGGAACACCGGUGGCGAAGGCGGUUCUCUGGGAAUAUCCUGACGCUGAGGAGCGAAAGUGUGGGGAGCGAACAGGAUUAGAUACCCUGGUAGUCC